GUGAGUGGAAGCUCUGGUGCAGCAUGAUGCUGCCCCCUUGGACCCUCGGCCUUCUCCUGCUGGCCACAGUCAGAGGAAAAGAGGUCUGCUACGGACAACUUGGCUGCUUUUCUGAUGAAAAACCAUGGGCAGGAACCCUUCAGCGACCUGUAAAAUUACUUCCCUGGUCCCCCGAGGACAUUGACACCCGCUUUCUUCUGUACACAAAUGAAAAUCCAAACAACUUCCAACUAAUCACUGGCACGGAACCAGACACCAUUGAGGCUUCAAACUUCCAACUGGACCGCAAGACACGCUUCAUCAUCCAUGGCUUCUUAGACAAGGCGGAGGACAGCUGGCCAUCGGACAUGUGCAAGAAAAUGUUUGAAGUGGAGAAGGUGAACUGCAUCUGUGUGGACUGGAGGCACGGGUCCCGGGCAAUGUACACCCAAGCCGUGCAAAACAUUCGGGUUGUUGGGGCGGAGACAGCUUUCUUAAUACAAGCACUGUCGACGCAGCUAGGGUACAGCCUUGAGGACGUGCAUGUCAUCGGCCACAGCCUGGGCGCGCACACGGCCGCGGAGGCGGGCAGGAGGCUGGGGGGCCGCGUGGGCAGGAUCACAGGGCUGGAUCCAGCAGGGCCGUGCUUCCAGGAUGAACCUGAGGAGGUUCGGUUGGAUCCAUCUGACGCCGUGUUUGUGGAUGUGAUUCACACAGAUUCUUCUCCCAUAGUUCCUUCCCUAGGUUUCGGAAUGAGCCAAAAGGUGGGCCAUCUGGAUUUCUUUCCAAAUGGAGGAAAGGAAAUGCCCGGAUGUAAGAAAAAUGUCCUUUCAACCAUUACUGAUAUUGAUGGAAUAUGGGAAGGAAUUGGUGGCUUUGUGUCUUGCAAUCACCUAAGAAGCUUCGAGUAUUACUCAAGCAGCGUCCUCAACCCUGAUGGCUUCCUGGGCUAUCCCUGUGCCUCCUACGAUGAGUUUCAGGAGAGUAAGUGUUUCCCUUGUCCAGCUGAAGGAUGCCCCAAAAUGGGGCACUAUGCUGACCAAUUUAAGGGGAAAACAAGUGCUGUGGAACAAACCUUUUUCCUGAACACAGGAGAGAGUGGUAACUUUACUAGUUGAAGAUAUAAGAUAUCAGUCACACUUUCUGGAAAAGAGAAAGUGAAUGGGUACAUCAGGAUUGCUUUGUAUGGAAGUAAUGAAAACUCAAAACAAUAUGAGAUUUUCAAAGGAUCCCUCAAACCAGAUGCAAGUCACACGUGUGCUAUUGAUGUGGAUUUUAAUGUUGGAAAAAUACAGAAAGUUAAAUUCCUCUGGAACAAACGUGGGAUAAAUCUAUCUGAGCCCAAACUGGGGGCUUCCCAAAUCACAGUGCAAAGUGGUGAAGAUGGGACUGAGUAUAAUUUUUGUAGCAGCGACACUGUGGAAGAAAACGUCUUGCAAUCUCUUUACCCUUGUUAAAAACGUGGUGCAGCUAUUGCGGUAAUAAAAUCUUUAAUGCACUCGG